rnacentral:rRNA from 1 species
UACGUAGGCAGCGAGCGUUGUUCGGAGUUACUGGGCGUAAAGAGUGCGUAGGCGGUUUCGUAAGUCUGGUGUGAAAUCUCCCGGCUCAACUGGGAGGGUGCGCCGGAAACUGCGAGGCUGGAGUGUGGGAGAGGCAAGCGGAAUUCCUGGUGUAGCGGUGAAAUGCGUAGAUAUCAGGAGGAACACCUGCGGUGUAGACGGCUUGCUGGACCACAACUGACGCUGAGGCACGAAAGCGUGGGGAGCAAACAGG